UCUAUUUUUUUCACCAAAUAUUUUGAACAACACGUGUAAGAAUUUGCUUCCCUCUAUUCUCAAUUCUCACGUACAGAAGUACAUACAGUAGCUUUCAAUACCCCCUUUACUCCAUUUUCCCCAUUGUCAAUUUCUCACCAUUUUCCCCAUCUUCUCAGAUCUCAUAACUUCAAUUCUCCAAAAAUACUUCAAAUUUUGAGACGAAAAUCACAAAAAAAAAUACUCCAAAAUUGUAAGAGGAAAAUAAGCAAAGAAAUCACGAAGGCGGCACUCCGGCGGUGGUGGCUGAAGGCGGCACAAGCGGUCUCAAUUUCAUUUUGCAUGUCCCUUCCUUGAGCUGAUUGCUCGAAAUUCUCUUCAAGGAUGCAUCUAGUGCGCCACAUCUUCUUGUUGACCAAAAUGGGCAAUCUUCUAAAUCUGGUGCCACAAUUAAUCAGGUGAAUGGGGAGUCAAAUGGAGCGGAAGUAUAGUGACUAGCCAUCUAACAAAUGGUGCAUAUAUGUUGGCGAUUCUUAUUCAAAUUCCGGCUUUGUGAAGAUUUGGAUAUUUCGGCUUAUAUAUAUGUUGACAAUUUGUAUUUUGGACGAUCAAAUUAAUUAUCUAACUUUUAUUUA